rnacentral:hammerhead_ribozyme from 1 species
UGGUCGGGAGCUGGCGUCGCUCUCCUGAUGAGUCCAAGGCAGGACGAAACCCCAU